UACGGAGGGUGCAAGCGUUAUCCGGAUUUACUGGGUUUAAAGGGUGUGUAGGCGGACAAUUAAGUCCGUGGUGAAAUCUCCGGGCUCAACCCGGAAACUGCCAUGGAUACUAUUUGUCUUGAAUAUUGUGGAGGUUAGCGGAAUAUGUCAUGUAGCGGUGAAAUGCAUAGAUAUGACAUAGAACACCAAUUGCGAAGGCAGCUGGCUACACAAAUAUUGACGCUGAUGCACGAAAGCGUGGGGAUCAAACAGG
rnacentral:rRNA from 1 species